rnacentral:rRNA from 1 species
UACGUAGGGAGCAAGCGUUGUUCGGAUUUACUGGGCGUAAAGGGCGCGUAGGCGGCGCGGUAAGUCACUUGUGAAAUCUCUGAGCUUAACUCAGAACGGCCAAGUGAUACUGCAGUGCUAGAGUGCAGAAGGGGCAAUCGGAAUUCUUGGUGUAGCGGUGAAAUGCGUAGAUAUCAAGAGGAACACCUGAGGUGAAGGCGGGUUGCUGGGCUGACACUGACGCUGAAGCGCGAAAGCCAGGGGAGCAAACGGG